CCAGAGCCAGGGGAAAUGUUGUUCUACCCAGUCAGGUGGCUGCAGCCCAGGUCCCGUGUGGCAGCCCCUGACCUUGACCCCAGCCCCCUUUGCUGAGUUAAUCACUAACGGGGCAGCUCCCGGCUGACAUCAAACCAGGAGCUAAACAAACAGCAGCUAAUGGGGCAGGCCAGUGGCUCUGCCCGCCCUGCCCUCACAGCUCUGCCUGGGUCUCUGGGGGUCGCUAGUCCUGUACCUGCCAUGGCCUGUCCUGCCCUCGGCAGCACCAGCAUCCCUUCCUGCCCUGGGACCGGCCCCGAGCCCUGCUGGCUUCUCUGUCCCCGGCAGGUUCUGUGGCCAGACAGAAUGCUUGCUGAACGCUCGGCCCUAGAUCAGCAGGAAUUCACUCCGGGCCGGUCUCUGGCCUGGGCGCGACGGGAGAUCGCCGCCGGCAACGGCACCAACGCCUUCUACGCCAACCCUGCCACGUCGUCAUAGGAUCUCUAGGGGCACCACCCGGGGACCGGCGGGAGCAGAGCUCCCACCAUCGCCAUGUGCUUCCUGCAGCUGGACUCCAGGGUGCCGGGCAGGGCCGACAAGGCAGUCCCGGGCAGGGGUUUGCUGCACCGGGGGGGGACGGGGGGCGUUUGGAGUCACAGUGUGGCAGGGUGGGGAGGGGGUGACUGCCCCCCCUUGCAGCCCAUGGCCCUGCAGGAGGGGGAGCUGCUUAAUUCCUCCCCCGCUCCACAAGGGAGGGCAAAGGGGCUGCCCCAUAUAUCCCCCCUCCAAUCAGCCUGGACAGUGCAGGGAGUAUGGCAGGGGCUCCCCAGAGGAGCCCCCCCAUACUGCCCCGAGCUGUGGAUGGGGUGUCCGCCCCCCCCCCACCCACACACAGCCUGGGGAGCCCUCUCUGGCCCAGCUCCCGCCUGUUCCCAGGAGGUGGGAGUGAGCGUCGGAAGGUUCCGGAGCAGUCGAAUUCGAACACAUGAAGGAACUCGAUGAACAAUGCGAGGGGGGACACUCCCCCCAGCUCCAAGCACCUGCUGCCCCCAAUCACUUGCCAAAUGCCGUAUCCUGCCAUGGGGCCCACAGUGUGCAGUGUUCAGGUUCCAGGGGUUACGUUUGCCUGCACCAUUAUAAAGGCCUGGGGCUCCUUUAUAAUGUAACCACUUGGCUCUGUGACGGCCGCCCCACCGUGACGGGGGGUCACAAUGUCCUUGGGAAGGUCUGUGUUUAUAGUGCUGCACAAUAAAGGGAUCUGUGGUGA